rnacentral:lncRNA from 1 species
GACUAGAAACAAAACCCUACCAGGAUUCAAUCAUAAAAAAAUUAAAACAAAAAACAAAAACAAAUAACGAGGAGACUUGUAACUUGGGGAAAUUGAAAUAGUAAUUUUCAACUACUAUAAAUAUUGACCUCCCAAUCUUAAAAUAUUAGUGAACCUAAUUCAGUUAAAAUGAUAAUAUGUAGUGAAUAGGUGGGAUUUAUGCCUGCAAUAAAAAUAUAGUUUAACCUAUAAAUCAAUACAUGUACAUAAACAUCUCAGUUAAUACAGAAAAAAUAUUUCACAAAAUUUAAUAUUCUAUUAUGAUUAAAAAACCAUAUUCAUCAGAUUAGGAAUAUAAGGAAAGGAAACUACCUUAGUAUAAUAAAGAAUGUAUCUGAAAAGCCCACAAUUAACAUCACACUCAGCAGUAAGCUUUUUCUACAUAAGAGGCAACAUGCGAGGGAAGUUUACUUGCUGCUAUACUGUUAACUCAGUACUUAGAAUUCUAGCCAGAAUAAUCAAACAACAAAAAGAAGCACAGUGACUUUUGGGAGUGGUUCUCUGCAUCCACCUUGAGGUUUGGAGAUCAUACGUAAGUCAUCAGGCUUGAGUGGGGAGUGCUUUUAUCCACCGAGCCUUCUCACUUGGCCUAAAUAACUUCCCCAAUUGAAAAGUUUUGUGCACCGUGUUUUUGAUGAUAUUUACUCCUCUCUCGCACCUCUGAAGCAGAUUUAUCCUUACCUCCUUUCUCUGCUCACCUAAUUUUGUAUCCCCCCCCCCAUCAAGGUCAAUUUGUGCUGCACAAAUAUUCUUGGAUAUAUGGUCUUCCCCUGGAGCACUGUUAGCUUACCAGGGGUUACAUGCUAAGAAAAUGGUUCUCAACCUGUGGGUCAUGACCCAAGGGGGGGUCACACAUCAGAUAUCCUGCACAUCAUAAUGUCAUGGUUGGUGGUCACCACAAUAUGAUAACCUGUAUUAAAUGGUUGUAGCUUUAGAAAGAUUGAGUUAAACAAAGUAGAGAUUAGCUUUGAACAUAGAAAAUUUCUUAUUGAGUGAUUGGGGCAAAGAUAGGAUUCUAAUGUGCUGAGGAGAAAAUGAAAGGAGGUGGAAACUGAGGAAACAGACCUCCUUUCUUUGUAAAAAGGAGAAAUGCAUUAUGUAACUUGCACACAUAAAAUAUAGAGAGAAUAUCAAGAAACUGAAGACAUUUUUUGAGAUAAUAAAAACAAAAGGGUAAGAGAAAAAAGAUUCAUUUUAUCUUUAUGGGAAGAAGCUAGAGUUUAAAGUAAUUUGUGAUGAAAAUUAGCACUAAAGCCACUUUCUUCUAAGUCUUAGCAAUAUAUGUUUUGGAAUCCUAUAACAUCCAUGCCUAUUAGUAGGAAGGAUCAUGAGCGUCAUCUUGUCCAGCACCACUUUGUAGAAAGAUAAUGAAACCCAGAUAAGUUAAAUGCCUGUUCUAAAUCAGACUAUAAAUUAUAAUAAUUUCAGACUAAAGGGAAGUUCUUCCUGCCCCCUUGGUUGGUGUUGUUCUUAUGGUAUUAUUUACAAAAUGAUUUGCUUAUGAAUUGAAUUUUAUAUAGACAUUAUAUUUUAUAGGAGAGUUCAUUUGCACAUCCUGUUAGGCUUUGCUACAUAACAAAUUGUCUUACAAUUCCUUGGCUUAAAAUAGCCAUCAUGUGCUAUUUGCCAUGGCUUCAUGAGUUGUCUGGGUUCAGCUGGAUCAGUCUGUGGCAAAGUCAGUGACAGCUUGACUGGAAGGGAGAAGCAGAAUGGCUCCACCCUUCUGUCUGGGAGCUUGGUGCUGUUUGUUGGCUGGGGCGCUAAUUACUCGAAUCUAGAUGACAUUCCUUGCAUAGUGACAAGAACAUUCUAGAAGGAUGGGAGAUAGAAAUUCAGACUUCAAAACUUGCACAGCAUGCUUACCACUGAAUUAAUAAAAGAAUUUAAAAAAAAUUGGGCUGAAGGGAGCAGGUCCACUUUUAAUGAAAAGAGGCGUAGGUAUUUGUAACCACGGAAUUUCCCACUUAAAUAGAAAAUUUUAAGUUAUAAUUUUAACUAUUCAACUUCCUACCAACUUUCUACUUAAUAUAAAGCAAAAAGGCUGCUGAUUGAAGGAAUUUUAGUUCAGCAUAUAAGAAACAAAAUUUUUGAUAAUCAAAAUAAUUAUACUAAAAGAAGAAGCUAUAUGUUGUAACAUUUGUAUACUCUAGUCUCUAAAACAAAAAUGCUAUAUUCAGUAAAUCACUGCACAGAAUGUUGAUGUAGCUAUAAUCUUCUCAGCCCAUUAUUUUUAUCAUCAUCAUCAUCAUCAUCAUCAUCAUCAUCAUCAUCUUUCUGGAUCAAUUUUUCAUGUGCUUUCUGUCUUGCUCUCUCUCUUUCUCUCUCUCUCUCUGACAAACUUAUACACACACACAAAAUUAAAAGUUUUAAAAUAAAAUCUUU